GGUUGAAAUCCAUAGUAUAGGAUUAUAUUUAACAAAUAAUUGGAGUUUAAGAAAGAAAAAGUUUUCAGAGAUAUAUGGAAGUAUAUAGUAUAAAGUUAAGGGUAGAUUUACUAUUUCAUAGUAAAGUAACUUUCCAUUUAUACACAUAAUUAAUAUGGAAGUAUACUAAAAGUUAGUAUAUAUAGAAAGAAGUGCUCCGCACGCGGUUUUGCGUAUGUAAUAAAAACACAGAGAGGAGGGAAUAGCUCCUCAAAAAACAAAAACAAAAAAACCUAGCCGCUUCAAAAUGUCGAAACGCAACGCAUCCCUGUCGCAACCGCCGCCUAGACCGCUGAUAAAGCAGCACUCGUGGUCCCCGGACGCCGAUCGGGAAGAGGCUUGGCUUAGGAAGAAAGGUAAAAGACCAUCGGGUCGACUCGGUCGUAGCAAGAGCGUGACGGACGAAGAUCUGGAAGAGCUAAAGGGAUGCAUCGAGCUUGGGUUCGGAUUCGAGCCCGAUUCGCCGGAGCUGGAUCCGAGGCUGUCUGAAACUCUACCAGCUCUGGGGCUGUACUGCGCUGUUAAUAAACAGUAUAGGAGUGGAUUGUCAAGGACUUCUUCUCUUUCGUCGGUUGCGUCGGAAGGUGAAGUGAGUAAUUCGAGCACGACGAUCGUUGACCAAGGUGAUGAUCCGGAGACGAUGAAGCUGAGGUUGAAACAAUGGGCUCAGGUGGUUGCGUGUUCGGUGCGACAAUUCUCCGGCGAACCAAAUUCGAUGUUGAAUAAUAAUAAUAAUGAUUAAUGUUUUUGAGGAAUUAUUGUUUGUUUGUUCUGAUGUGAUUGUACAAAGGAAUGACAGUUUUGAUAAAAAUAGCUGUGACAUUUUUUUUAGAAAUUUGAUUUUAGACUCUAAUGGUAUCGUUUAACCAAAACUAUUAUAUCAAAUGUUCUUCAGUUCUAUCUUUUUUUUUUAAUUUUUAGUAAAUCAUUAUUUAGUUUUCUUUGUAGUUGGGGAAUUAGUUGGUUGAAAGAAAUUGUUUUGCAUCUUCUUCUUUUCGUCUCUCUCAAACUCUCGAUUAUAUGAACCAAAUCCUUGGAGACAUGUCACAUGUAAUUGGCUAACCAUCAUAAUUUUAUUUUUGCUAGCGAUUAGAUUUUGAUGCCAUUGACAUCUUUACUGUGAAAUAUGGCCGUGUAUUUUUAGGAGUUAUAGGUCCACAUUUUAGUAUAGGCUUUGUGAUACAAUGUAGACUUGACGAAAAUUUUGAAAUGUUCUCGAGAGAUUUAUACAUAGUUAGAGUCUUGAUAAGAAAAACCCCAAUAAUCACAAAGAAAAAUGUUAAAACAGAUUGAUCCGGUCCGUUAAUAUGUAACCCGUUUAGGCCCAGGUAUAUUCAUGAACAGAUUUAAAUGUUUAGCCAUAACAAUGUUGUAUGGUUGACAAAAAAAAAGGCGUAACAACAACAACCGUUGUAAUAAAAAGAGGUGACUCUGCAUUUAGUAUUACCUUAAACAAAAGGACAGAUAUUUCUUACCGGAUAGUUUGGUUGACUCGCGAGAUAUUUAGUUUGGUUUGUCAAACAAAAGGACAGAUAUUUUUUUCUUGGUAAUGAGCAGAUAUUUUUGGACGCAGCUACUACCCACGUCAGCCAGGAUCUAAAAUAUCCAUUCGCCAAACCAGUGGCUAAUUUUUAAUUAAUGUCCCCGGAUUUAUCUCAUUAUCCAAAAUAUAAACUGUAUAUUUUAAUGAUAGUUGUUACAAAUAAACUUAACCGUCUCUAGAAUAAUUCAUUAGAGAUGUGAACAAAAUAUCAAAAACAGAGACAACCUCCUCUACUUGAGCUCCCAAAAAAAAUAUCCUACUGAUAUUUGUCCGAGAUAUUUAUCGUCGGUAAUGACGUGGCAAUAAUCAGACACAUGUAAAAAGCGACGCCACGUGGAUAUUUGUUCUUUAUAUCUUCUCUUUUCAUCUCUUCGUUCCUCUCUCUUACGAACACAUUUUUUUUCUUUAAGAGACGUAGAUAUUUUUGGGUUGUUAUUGUUGUUGUGUGGAGAGCAUUGGAGGAGAAGAACGAUGGAGAAUGUUUCAGAGGUUAAUAUUGUUUAUCUCGAGAUGGAUCGCGAUGCGGAGGCGUCGGGUGAAUCUCAUAGCGAGUCGUCGACUCUAUCGAACUCGCUCGAGUCCGUUCUUACGCGGAAUGAAUGUGGUGGUGACUGGACGAACGAGAAGCACAACUCGUAUCUUGAUUCUUUGGAGAACUCAUUUGUUAGGCAGCUGUAUUCCUUACUAGGAAGAGAGGAGGAGACUCGGAGAACGUCUAGAACUCAUCAUGUGCAGUCUAACUCUCACACAUGGACUCAUCAGUUUACGCUAUUACAAAAUGGUUGCCGGCAAAAGCUCAACUUUGGAAAGAAACGAGCUUAUUUAGAGAUAUCAUCCGAGUAUACCAUUGGGACUGCUGAUCAAGGAAACGUAUUGUGCAAGGAAGAAAUAAAAAACUCCGGUGAUAAGGCUUUUACUAGAACACUUACGAGAAAUUCUUUGGGGCAUGAGUAUCCAGCUCAAUGCACUGCAGAGGUGUCAGGGCAGAAUUUCAGAGAAGAAGUAGAAGAGAGGGGAUGUAAUUCAGGGGUGUCCAGGAAACGCAGAAGAGAAGCUAACUACGAUGACAGUUCACUGAAUGAUCAAGUUGUGCCGUAAGGAUGGUGAAGCUCCAGAAUGUGGAACGAUUCAAAGCAAAAUAGGAAGUGAAGUGGAGAAUGAAUGUGAGAGAGUUUUGCUUGUUGUAUAGAAUGAGGCUGAAACGAGCCUUAUAGAGGCAGAGGCAUUGAAUGGGAUGGAAUUAGGAUUGGUUUUUGUUUUAUUAAAUUUUGUCUAUGUUAACAAGGGAAGCAUUUGAUAUA